AACAUCGACAUUUCGAACGCACAUUGCGGUCCACGGAUACAAUUCCCGGACCACGCCUGGCUGAGGGUC
rnacentral:rRNA from 1 species